rnacentral:snRNA from 1 species
GUACCCAAUUCAGCAGCACAGAUGCUAAAAUUAGAAUGACAUAGAACUAGCAAGACCACUGCACAAGGAUGACAUGCAAAUUCAUGAAGUAUUCCAUAUUCUU